AAUUGGAGGGCAAGUCUGGUGCCAGCAGCCGCGGUAAUUCCAGCUCCAAUAGCGUAUAUUAAAGUUGUUGCAGUUAAAAAGCUCGUAGUUGAAUUUCGGGGUUAGUAGGUUGGUCAUGCCUCUGGUAUGUACUGAUCUCACUGAUUCCUCCUUCCUUAUGAACCGUAAUGCCAUUAAUUUGGUGUUGCGGGAAUUUGGACUGUUACUUUGAAAAAAUUAGAGUGUUUAAAGCAGGCUAACGCUUGAAUACAUUAGCAUGGAAUAAUGAAAUAGGACGUUCGAUCUUAUUUUGUUGGUUUCUAGGAUUGACGUAAUGAUUAAUAGGGAUAGUUGGGGGCAUUAGUAUUCAAUUGUCAGAGGUGAAAUUCUUGGAUUUAUUGAAGACUAACUACUGCGAAAGCAUUUGCCAAGGAUGUUUUCAUUAAUCAAGAACGAAAGUUAGGGGAUCGAAGACGAUCAGAUACCGUCGUAGUCUUAACCAUAAACUAUGCCGACUAGGGAUCGGAUGAUGUUAAUUUUUUAAUGACUCAUUCGGCGCCUUACGGGAAACCAAAGUGU
rnacentral:rRNA from 1 species